rnacentral:lncRNA from 13 species
CAAGGCCUGCCCCCAAGGAGUUUGUGACCCUGCCUAGUGGCACUGGAGACAGGACAUAGUAAAAAUAAAGAUAUUUUAUAUCUCUCAUUUGUCAAGAACCUUCAAAUGUAAUAGGUCAUUGAGCAUCACAGCAACCCUGCAAGAACAAAUAAAAGGAACAGAUGCAGGGACUCCUCUGCCAACAGCACGUGACCUCUCCUUGGGGCCUGGAGGGUCACAGGGGAGCAGCCUCCCAACACUGGACACACAGGAAUGGCAGGACAACACCCGCCCCAGAAUGCUGCUCUAGAGACACGGGAAAAUCUUCAGCAACAGCAGCGCUUUCUUCCCGCGUCCUCAUGGCCUGUCUUCCUCUUUUGCUGCUAAGGGGGCAAGGCCAGCCCCGAUGA